rnacentral:lncRNA from 1 species
AUGACUUGUUUAACUCAGGAUUGGAAUGGAUGCGGAUAUCCGAAUUUUAUCUAAAUCCGAAUUUAAAUAGCAUGGAUUUAUUUAAUACUAAAUGGAUGGUUUCGGAUUUGAAUAUAAAAAAUAAAAAUUUUACAAAUUUGAAUUCGGGAAUGAAUUUUUUCCUCACUCGACUUGAGCCCAAAUUGAUUUAACAUUAUAUAAUAUAUGUGAAUGUUUGAUGUUAUAUUUUGAUUUGUAUUUUAAAAUUUUAGAUUUUAUUAUAAUAUAUUUUGAAAUAUGAUAAAAAGAAAUAAUUGCUUCAGGUUUGAGAUUUUGGGUUUGGAUUUGGAUUUCGGAUUUCAAAUUAUUGGCCGUGUUCGGGUAUGAAUUUAAAUUUUCAAAAUCUAUCAGGUUCGGGUUUGGAUUUUAGAUUCAGGUUUGAGAUUUGAAAAAUUCGUCUCGAAUCUGUCCCGUUGGUAUCCCUAGGUUUUACGAAUCUCUAGCAUAAAUAGACAAUUAUACCCUUCAUAAAUGAAGGGUUGAAAUGAGUACUAUCUACUUUGAAAUACAAGUACAGAAGGGCAACCCAAUUUAGUGAGAGUGUUUUCAGGUCACAUGUCCCUAACCCUAGCUCGUGUGAUGUCCUCUCAACUCAAAAUUCAUGUAUUACCUAAUCCUAAUUUUAGACAUAUGCAUAACUAUCAGAUAAACAUAUACAGAACUUAUUUGAAUUAUGAAUUAUUAUGAAUUGAUUGAUAUAUACAGAACAUAUUUGAACUAUGAAUUAUUUCGAGUUGGUUAUAUAUCUAAUUUUUUAAAUUUUUUUUGAUUUUUUUAUCUGAUCUUACAAUUUACUUGAUUUGAGCCAAUCAGCGAUACUUUGACUUCAAAAAUACGUCGCUUAUUUUUACAGAUUUUAUUAGAUAUUUCAUUCAAUUUUUGCAAUUAAAAAUUUAUUAAGGUACGUAAUUAGUUUAAAUUUUGAAGUCAAAAUAUCGUUGAUUGACUCAAAUUAAAAUAAAGUGAAAAGUUGGGUGCAUAACUGAUUCAAAAUAGUCCAUAGUUCAAUUUUUUUUUUGUUUUUGAGAGAAAGUCCAUAGUUCAGAAUUUCAGAUACGUUUUGUAUGUUCUUAUCUAUUUCUUGUGUAAUGUGUACAUAAAUAGGAUAUAAACUUAGUGAGGUACAAUUAAUAGAAAGUUGGUCUAUUUCAUUUGUAAUGUGUACAUAAAUAGGAUAUAAGCUUAGUGAGGUACAAUAGAAAGUUGGUGGCAUUCAAUAAGUUCAUGUUAGCAUUAGUUGGCCUCAAAGAAUCAAUCAAUUGCAUUUUUGCAUGAGUUGGAUGUGACGCCCCACUUCCUAGGGAUCACCCGUUCUAAGACUACUCUAACUUAGCAUGCUUAAUUUUAUUAACCUUUUGAGGUUAACCACUACAAAAAAAGAUAUAGCCGGUUUAAGAAUUUUAGCUCUAUUAUAUCUUAUAUAUAGUACUACCAGGAUCUCACAUUCUUUAAUUCCCUUUAAGCCCUGACAUUAUCAUCAGAUUCAAACUCACAAGUAUUAGACCAUGUGAUACUCAUCUCACUAGCCUUAAUCGACCUUAUGGGAGAGCCGCGCUCUACUCACAACAGUCAUCGGGAUGAAAACCUCGCUCUCCUCGCUGUAUAACCUGACUUAAUUAGUCAAGACUCAUCUCACAUUUUCGGCUGAUAAUUGACUUUGAUACCAACUGUGGUGUUCCACUUUCCGGGGGUCAUCCAUCAUAGAACUACUCUAGCUUAGCAUGCUUAACUCUCUUAACCUCUUGGGUCUAACCAUCGUCCAAAAUGCUAUAGUCGGGCUAAAAGUUUUAGUCCUAUUAUAUUUUAUAUAUAUAAACUAUCUGUGGUCUCACAUUGGAAAUAAUUAACUAGUUCAAUCAAUAAAUAAAGUAACCAAUUAAUUAAGCAACCUACCACCCCCAUAAUUUUAGUUCUUGAAAUUCUAGUUAAGUGACCACUUUGAUUCUUAAAUUUUAGUCCGAUGAUUUACUUUUCUAAAUACACAAAAGAUUGCAAUUUAAUUAACAGUCCUAUGUUAUGUGAUGUUACAUGGAGAUGCACUGGACGCGACUUUUAAGCUUUAGGAGAUGAAAUGUAACACUUAAACUUCGAGUGAGGAUCACAAUAUAACCUAACCAAGGGACUGUUUAUUCACCUGUAAAUGAAUUUUAGAUUGAAAUGACUUUCGAUUGAUCUAAAGUUCAUAAGGUGAAUUCAUUUUUUUCUACCACUAUUGAAUUUGAAACUAUAAUUAUCUCACUUUUUUUUCAAAUAUCUACAUUAUUGAAAAUAUCCAAACUAGCACAUAAAAAGAUGAAAAAAAAAUUAUAGUAAUUAUUAUUAUUAUUUUUGAGAGAAAGGUAACACGCUACCCGCUUCAUUCAUAUAGAAAAUAAAUUCAGCUACAGAAGUUGAGGCAACUUGGCCUCGAGUAAGGUACAAGCCACUAUACCGAAAAAUAAAAUAAAAAUAAAUGAUAAAAAAAAACUUAGGAAAAUAAAAUAAAAUAAAAUAAAAUAAGUAAAUAAACUUAAAAAGUAAAACUAAAAAAGAGUUCACUUAGAGCUGCAAAACUGAGUCCACUCUCGGCAGUACCCAGAGCAAAGCCAAUUAGGACGUUAUGAACCGAUUUAAUUUGUAAUGAACCAAACAAUAAAAGUAGACAUUUAAGAUGGAACGGUGGUGCAAUUUAUAUAUCCCAAAAAGAUAUGUAUAGAACUUCCCCAUUCCUUAAUUUCCUUCUCAAAGAUGGUUUCCCAAAAGUAUGCAAGUAAGUCCUUUGGUACAAUUGAAUGCUUCAGAAAGCAACUUAAUAUUCAUGCCAUGUUUCAUACUUUUUGCAACCCCCCCAUGUGGCAUGGGUUUAAUUUGGUAUUCAUGGCUUGGAGACUUUCUAAGCCUGCAGUUUGGUCCAACUCCUAUAAUGCUGCUCAUGUUUAUUGCACCUGCACCCCUUCACCUAACACACACACACACACACACACACUCACUCUCUCUCUCUCUCUCUCUCUCUCACACACACACACACACACACACAAAAUUUCAAUAUAAAGACACUUUUUAGACGACGCUUAGAAGAAACGUUUUUACAAUACAGUAAAUACCGAUACUUCAAAAAGCGUCGUUAUAUAAACUUUCUAUUGCAUAAAACUAAUUUAUUAAAUAAUACUCUCUCUCUCUCUCUCUCUCACACACACACAAAAUUUCAAUAUAAAGACAUUUUUUAGACGACGCUAAUUAGAAGAAACGUCUCUACAAUACAGUAAAUACCGAUAUUUCAAAAAGCGUCAUUGUAUGAACUUUCUAUUGCAUAAAACUAAUUUAUUAAAUGAUAAAUUUUAUUAUUAUUUUUAAUUUUUCGACGCUUUAAAAUAUUAGUAUUUUAAAAAUUUCUAAGGCUUAAUUUAGGGCGUAAGAAUAUAUAUAUUUUAUUGAUGCUUGGCAUAAGCGUCGAUAUAUACGUGCUUCACUUUCGAAUAUGACGUUAGAUUAUUCUGGGACGUUUUUAAUUAUCAUUAAAUAUAAAAAAAGUAUCAUUAAAUGUUAAUUUUCUUGUAGUACGUGCAUGUCUUUCUCUCUAAAAUUGUGACUAUAAAACCAAAGGGAUGUUAUAGAGCAAUGCACUACCCCGAAAACACAAGGAUUGGGAGGUGAAGGGAGGAGAUCGAGGAAAAGAGUUAUAAUAUAUAAUAUAUAAUAAUAAUAAUUUAUAUGGCUUCAACACCUGGUCCUCUCACUGAGUGGCCAUGGCAAAGGCUAGGAAACUACAAGGUACACUCACUGUAACAUAAUAAGUUAAUUUGUUUAAUUAUCUCUUGCUUUUUUCUUUUUUUUUUUGUGUGUGUGUGUGUGUAAGUAUCAUGGCUCUUGCAUGGACCCAACAAAGUGCAUGUACUUGGCUUAUUUUUAACUUUCUUUUGUUAAGAAACUGUUUUGAUUGAAUUUUUAGUUAUCUUCUAUUCUAUAUACAAUACUAAAACAUCGCUCUGUAGCAGCUAAAAUAAAGCCGAAAGUUUUGACGAUUCAAACUAAAACUCCGCCUCUUUAAAACCGUCUUUACAAGCGCUUUUUCUUGUAGUGCUAGUCUCUUUAAUUUCUACUCCUGUAACCCACAAAACCUAUCAAAGAGUCUACUACCAUUUUUAUAAGAUUUUAGAGAAUAAAUGUUGUUUAGAUAAUAUAUGUUUAAGUAACAUCUGCUCUUGAUAUUUUUUUCCUUUUUGGUUCAUGCAUGGAUCAAACAUGGUGUAGUACAUGGUACUUGCUCCAUGGGUGUUGCAUGGAUUGCACAUGGUGGCUACAAAGGAAUGGAAGGAUGUUCACAUCUCCUACAUUAUCAUCUUCCCUUCUCUGCUGCUGAGGAUGAUCCACAAUCAGCUCUGGAUCAGCUUGUCUCGCUUCCAAAAUGCUCGAAGCAGGCGUCGCAUCGUCGAUCGCAGCAUCGACUUCGCGCAGGUCGACAGGGAGAGAAACUGGUGAGAAAAAGCUCCAUGAUCACAACUUAAGGCUAUACAAUAUAUUGUUUCGACCGAUCGUCCCUAGCACAAGUGGCAAAGGACUUUGUUGUUGGUAUCCGAGGUUCCAAAUUUGAAUUCUAGUUGAUUUAUAUUUUCAACUAAGUUUAUUUCUAAAAAAAUAAACGAAGUAGCUAGCAUACUGAGUUUCUGAACUUUAAGUAGCCUUUUUAGCUGCUGAAAAUAAAAUUUGCGAAAAGUGAUUUUUUCAAUAAAAUUUUUUUUAGCUCUAUAUCAAAAAUAGUACUAAUUAAUGCGAGAAAAUCAUUAUACAUAUAUAGAAGAAGACAAAUCAUUAUUUUAAAGAGAAAAGCUUGAAGAUUUUGAUGAUCAAAAAAGUACUUCAAGAAUUGAGGAUUGCUUAUUCGUAUGUAGUUGCAAUUUCACUACAUUUGUACUAAGUGUGUAUAGAUCUAAAUAGACCAGUUCUUCUCGUACAUCCUAACGUGGGAUGUAUAUAUAUUUUAUACUAGCUCCAUCCCAAGAUCACUAAUUAAUAUUUUCCUUAUCACAUCAAAUUUUUUUUUUUUCUAUAUUUACUAAAAUCAUUUAGAUUGUUCUUAACCUUAGAAUGGGGGAUGUAAGAUCUACACCCAUUCCUUCUCGGGUGUACAAGAAUUAUUUUUCAUCUAAAUAUGAGGAAUGGUUUGACGCAUUUGGAUACAACUAUAUACUGUAGUUAGAAUUGCCCAAAAAAGCUUAGUACUGCAACAACUAUAGCAGUUGGAGAGAGUGAUAUUAUACAUAAAAAAAAAUUAUCAUCCUUUUAAACAUAUUUUCUACAUUAAGAAUAAUCUUAUCAUUUUUGUAAUAUAUGUAACCAAACAAAUUAUUUAUACUACAACGCUUUCUACUAUAUCCAAGCAAAUAAAAAAAAAUACGUAAUUACAGCUACUACAAUUUUAAAUACAUAUAUCUUCAAUUAUACUAUAUUUAUAAUUAUAACUAACCAAACCGCAAGUAUUUAAGUGAUAAGUUUAGAAAGUACCUAAGUUGCAAUAUUGACAAGCUUAUAUAUAUAUAUAUAUAUAUAUAUAUAUAUUAUUCUACUUUAAAUAUGGUACUAAAAUUUUGGCGUUACCUUAUUUGGAAAUUAAUAAAUUAGAAACCAACUGGUGAUGGUGCUUCAAUCAUCAAUACGAUCAUUAAAUGGAAAAAAUUUUAUGGUGACAAGUUUGAAAAUAGACCUAUCAAAGAACAAGAAGAACAUUAAAUACACCGACCCCACUUCAGUAUCAAAAUUUAUUAUCAGUACAGAGAAUGUACAUAUUAUAUACAAUUUUGACCCGCUCGGAUAAUUUACAAAAGAGCAAUUAAAAUAGGUUAAUUUUAUACAGAUCUUUGCAAACAUAGUAAAUUAUAAAUAUAUUCCUAUAAAUUUUACUUUUAUAUAUUGUCUCUAUAAAAAUCUUAAUGUUUUUAAAUAUAUUCCUCUGGUUUGUUAUCGUUAAAGCACUGUCUAUUUUAUAAGUGAAAUAUUUUUUUUGUCAUCACAAAUAUAUCUCUUUAAAGUCCCAACUGUUAAUUAAAGAGAAAUAAAAUGGUCAAUUCAUUUCAUUAACUGGUCAGGAUUAAGUAUUCAAUCUAUGAUUAACUAAGUUUUUCUAACAGUUUUUAACGGAAGGGAUAUAUUUAAAAAUAUUAGGACUUUUGUAAGAACUUUAUAGGGAUAUAUUUGUAAUUGACUAUAUUUGUAGGGACUUGUAUACAAUUAACCCAAUUAAAAUUUAAUCUAAAAAAUUAUCUGUUUAUGUAUAAAGUAAAUACAAAUUUUAUGCCAAUCUAUUUAAGAAUUGUGACAUUUUUUAUAUUUUUAUUCUAACAUAAGUCGGAAGUGUGAAAAGACUAGUAAAAGAAAGUGUGAACUUCAAAUAUCACCCUUUUAUUUUCGCACACUCUCACUUUAGUACGCUGUGGUUUAAAGUGUAUCAAGUCAGUAUCCUAUGGUUUCAUUUUUAUCUUUUCGUUAGUUUUUUCAUUAAUAUUUCGUUAAAUUAUAUACAAAAAACUACAGAUACCCCAUCUAGACUUAUCGAAUAUUCACUUUAGUACCCUUUAGUUUUAACUUUGUAACUGAUUUAACGAAAAAAUUAAUGAAAUCGAUAAUGAAAAGAUAAAAAUAAAACUACAUGAUAUUAAAUUGAUGCACUUAAAAUUACAUGAUACUAAAAUAAAAAAGUGUAAAAUCACGUGGGUGGAAUUUAAAGUUUUCCCAAGCUAAAAGAAAAGCAGUUAUUGAAUGAAUUAAAUAUAAGAUUUAUAUCUAUUUAUACAUGUACAAAGGUAACCAUUGCACAUGUCCUUACUUUAUAGAAUUGAUUGUGACAUUUAUAUAUCAGUCACGUUCGUAUCCUAGGAUAACACUAUCAAGAACAAAUUGAUGUUUCAUCCAAAUAAAAAAGAAGAAAAUAAAUAGAUGUGUUAGUAAAACAUAAAUAUAUUCCUAUAAAAAUUAACUUUUAUAUGUUGUUCUGGUAGAUGUCCUAAUAUUUUUAAAUAUAUUCUUUCGAUUUGUUACUGUUAAAAUACUAUUUAUUUUAUAAGUAAAAUAACUUUUUUAUCAUCACAAAUUUGUUUAUCUAAAAGUCUUAAAUAUUAAUUAAAGAUGGGUAGAAAUGUCAAUUCACCUCAUUAACUAAUUAAGGUUAAGUAUUUUACAUAUGGUAAACUAAUGUUUUCUAACGGAUCUUAUUUGAAAACAUCACGAUUUUUGCAGGAACAAUAUAUAAAAGUUGAACUUUGUAGGGAUAUAUUUGUAAUUCACUAUAUUUGUACAUAUCUGUACGAAAUUAAUCCUUUUUUUAUUUUAAAAAAUAGAAGAAACUAGUGUGAGGGCAUGUUUGGAAACUCCAAAAUUUAAUUGGUUUGAUUUUUUUUUCUUAUUUAAUCUCAAUAUAUAUAUAUAUAUAUAUAUAUAGUUGAGUUAGAAUACUCUCAAAAACAUCAUGAAGGUGGUGCUUUUGAGUUUUUAGCCAUUGGAUAGAGAGAUGUGAGGUUGAGAUGAUGGUGGUAGAUGGUGGUAGGUGGUAGUAGGUGGAAUAGUAUUUGAUCCAAGAGCUAUUAAAAAUCAAGGAUUAAUGUAUUAUUAUAUACGUGUAUAUAUAUAUAUAUUGCAGGGAUGAUCAGAUCAUAUUCAAUGGCAUCUUGUUCUACCUGGUGUACACUUUUGUUCCUGGUGUGGGCCACAUCCCCAUGUGGAGAAAGGAAGGAGCAGUGAUCAUAGCUCUGCUACACAUGGGCCCUGUGGAGUUCCUCUACUACUGGUUCCACAGAGCCUUGCACCACCAUUUCCUCUACUCUCGCUACCACUCCCACCACCAUGCUUCCAUUGUCACUGAACCCAUCACCUGUAUGUACUUUUCUCUUCCUUUGGCAUUCCGCGUUCUGCAUUGGAUAGGAUGGAAUAAGAUAAAAAAACGAUACCGGAGAAAGAAAAGUGUUUAUUGAUUCAGAGACACUACAUAUAUAGAAUAAAAUAAGAGAGUGGUACUGAGGAAACGAAAAGAGCUUAAUGAUUCGGUAGUGUUGAGAAAGGGUUUGUUGACUCAGAGAUAUUGGAGAAAGGAUACAACGGAAUUUCUCAAAUCUAACCCCUGCUCACUUCUGGCAGACAUUGCUCUCUCAUUUUAUUCUAUCUGCAGUAAUCUUAGAUGCAAACUGAACAAUUUUAUAAGAUCACAAAUUUUGAGUUAAAAAAUGGAGUGAUGAACUAUUCCAAUGAAUUAUUUGUCAUUCAUCAUUCAAUACCUUUUAUUGCAUCCGAGUUCAUGCACUAAAUACUCCUCAUCAAGUCAAAAUACUCUGAUUCUUGUUUGUCAUGCUCCCUCUGCAGCUGUGAUUCAUCCAUUCGCGGAACACGUGGUUUAUUACUUACUGUUUUCGAUUCCGAUGUUAACGACGAUCUUCACCGGCACGGCUUCCAUUCUCUCGCUCUUGUUGUACGUCGCGUUCAUCGACUUCAUGAACAACAUGGGGCAUUGCAACUUCGAGUUGGUGCCGAAGUGGUUUUUCCGAGCCUUUCCCCCUCUCAAGUACCUCAUGUACACCCCUUCGUAAGUAUUUCUUUUACGAUCAAUCCUCGUAACAUUAAAACACUUCAGUUCUGAACUUUCAUAUAUAUUGCACUUCAGUUCCUGACCUUUCACUUCAAUUUACGUCAAACAGCGUUAAAAUACAUUUUACCGACAUGUUUUUGUAUCCUAGGUUUCACUCUCUCCAUCACACGCAGUUCCGGACGAACUACUCUUUGUUCAUGCCAUUUUAUGACUAUGUAUACAAUACGAUGGACAAGUCGUCUGACGAGUUGUACGAGAACUCUCUGAAAGGGAAAGAGGAGACACCUGAUCUUGUUCACCUCACCCAUCCAACUACAUUGCAGUCGAUCUUCCAUCUCAGGCUCGGGUUCGCGUCGUUAGCGUCCGAGCCGUACGACUCCAAGUGGUACAUGUUGAUAAUGUGGCCUAUUGCGCUGUUGUCGAUGGCAGUGACUUGGAUUUAUGGAUCUUCAUUUGUCGUCGAGAGAAUUAAUCUGAAGAAGCUGAAGAUGCAAACAUGGGCAAUACCGCGAUAUAAUUUCCAUGUAAGGAAUAGUCAUUCGCUAUAUGAUGUAGCUAACCGAUUACUAAAGACAUCAGAUUCAUUGAAUUUGGUCAAGUCAACCCAAUGAAAUAGUGACCAAGUUCAAUAAAUCUCUUUGCCAAUAAUAAAACCAGCUCUGAAUAUGCCGAUGUCACAUAUGCAGUAUGGCUUAGCGUGGGAGAAAGAAGUAAUCAAUGAGUUGAUCGAAAAGGCGAUAAUAGAGGCCGACGAAAGAGGGGUCAAAGUUCUGAGUUUAGGGCUUCUGAAUCAGGCAUGCAAUCUUUUACUGCAUUAAAACUACUUCUACUACAAGAAUUUUUUGUUUCUUUCUCGGUUCGGUUAUUGUUAGAUGAAAAUAACUAGUAAAUGACACCUUUUCGCCGACAUUAGGCGAAAGAACUCAAUGGAAGCGGAGAACUAUAUUUGCAGAAGUACCCAAAAUUGAGGUUAAGAAUUGUCGACGGAAGCAGCUUAGCAGCUGCAGUUGUUCUGAAAAGCAUUCCUCCUGGAACAAACCAAGUUCUCCUUUGUGGAAAACUUUCGAAGGUAGCUUGCGCCACUGCUAUAGCCUUAUGCCAAAAGGGUGUCCAGGUAUGGUUAACCUCAGAUGUAAAUGUUUUACUCUUUGAGUCAGUUUCUGGUAAAUUUUUGCGACAGAACAUAUGCGCUUAAGAUUGUAACCUUUAGUUUUGUAAUAAAGCAUUACUGUCGACUCGAUCGAACAGGUGGUCAUGACAGAGAAGCAAGAGUUCCACAUGCUCAAGCCGCAAAUACCGGAAAGUGCAGCGACUUAUCUGACUUAUUCGAGCAGCGACACUCCUACGGUAAACAUAUUCUUCUGUACAUCAUUUAUCGAUAAAGAUUACAAGUAGAGUAAAUGGUAGUACGUGGAAAGCGAUAUAUAGUUCAAAUUUGCGACUCGAUAGAAAGAGAUUUUAAGUAUCAGUAUGUCAACAGAUAUAUGGAUAACAUUUUGGACUUGACUAUUGAAUCAGGUGUGGAUAGUAGGUGGAGUAACCGACGAAGAGCAAAGAAGGGCAUCGAAAGGCACACUAUUCGUUCCUUUAUCGCAAUUUCCGCUAAAGAAGAUACGCAAGGAUUGUACUUACUACGCCACUCCUGCGAUGAAGAUCCCGGAGACGCUACGAAAUGUGCAUUCCUGCGAGGUAACACCUUAUCCACGACUAACACAUCAUUCGAUUCUUCAUGUUCGUGAAAAAACUUUGUGUGAGUUCACGUUUUUCGACCACUACGAACAGAAUUGGCUACCGAGAAGGGUCAUGAGCGCGUGGCGCGUAGCGGGAAUAGUACACGCGCUAGAAGGGUGGGACACGCACGAAUGCGGAGACACGGUGACGGACAUCGAGAAGAUAUGGUCCGCUGCUAUUCGACACGGAUUUCGUCUCAUGACACAAGCUUGAUGCUCUUCUCUGAGGCUCCGCGCUACACUGCUUGUACUCUAUUGUGUUUAGUGUUGUAGUAUUUAUGGAAGCUACAAUUUCUAGAACUAUGUAGUAAUCCAAAGAAGGUAUCAUAUCUCAGUAUGAGAAAAUGGUUCCAUGUUUAGGGCGUUUAAAGUGUGUUACAGUUGUGCUUUGUUGGAGCAUUUAGCAUGCAAAUCAGAGUCUUAUUAGAGAACUGUUCUAUAGCAUGUUCUUUAGUAUCGAUAAUCGGAAUGCGUUUUGUGUAUGAUUGGGAUGUAUUACGAGUAAUUGGACUUGUUUAAGGAACUAUAAGUUCGUAUCUACCAACCGUACCUAACACAGUUGACUAAGAACUUAAUGAUUGGUACCUAAGAUUCAAAAUUCAAUACCUAAUUUCUUUGUACGUCUAGUUAAGUAUAUUUUUAAAGAAUUCCAAUUUGGCAAAAAGUUUUUGUCUUCAUUUUAUUAAAAAAAAAUUAGAUAAAAAUUUUGGACUUAAUUUUCUCCACCUUGCAUGAGUGUCUUUCGGAUUAAUUCCAUACAGGUCUCUAUAAAUAUAGUGAAUUGUAAAUAUAUUUCUAUAAAAGUCCUGAUAUUUUUAAAUAUGUCUCUACCGUUAGGAUCCAUUAGAAAAAAUUAAUUAAUCGUAGAUAAAAUAAUUAAUCCUAAUUAGUUAAUGAUAUGAAUUGAUCUUUUUACCUCUCUUUAAUUAACAACUGGGACUUUUAAAAGAAUACAUUUGUGAUAGCAAAAAAAUCAUUUCACUUAUAAAAUAAAUAAAUAUUUUAAUGAUAACAAACUAGAGGGAUAUAUUUAAAAAUAUUAAGACUUUUAUAGGGACAAUAUAUAAAAAUUAAAUUUUGUAGGCAUAUAUUUACAAUUUACCAUUUUUGUACGGACCUGUAUAAAAUUAACACGUGUCCUAGACCAGUCAAAAAAUUAAGUUCAAUUACGUAUUAUUUAUUUAUCAGCCACUAAAAUUUUCCUAUAGCCAAUGACUCUUUGCCACGUGGCAGAGUAAAAAAAAAAUUAGGACUCCGAUCACACGACGAUCGAAGACCACGUGGCAAUAAUCGGUGAAGCGUUCGCCUUUUGCUUUUUUAAACUUGGAAGCUUAAGAAAACCUAGCUCAACGGCCCCUUUCCAACGGUCGACAAAGGAGAAACCCCAAUCCAAUCCUAAGAGGAAAAGGAAAAGGAUUAGGGUUAUUCGGGCUCACUCCAUUUCCGUUCUCUAUCACUCAUGGCGAAGCUCUAAAAAGGUCUCGCCUUUACUCUCUCUCUCUCUCUCUCUCUCUCUCUCUCUCUCUCUCAUCAACCCUAGUAAGAAGAAGAAGACGAAGCUUCAAGAGAGGUAGAGAAACCCUAGAUUUUGAUCUCCAUGGGUUGUUUCCUUGGAUGUUUCGGAGGGCCCAAGGAUCGAAAGCAUCGGCGAUCGCCGGAGGCGUCGCAACUCGGAGAUCCGGUAAUCAAAUUCGCUUCUUUUUUGGUACCUUUUUUUUUUUCGCUGUUGCUAUUUCCUAAGAGUUUUCUAAUCCUCUUCUUCUAAUUUUUUUACCUACUAAUCGAUCUCAGAUUAAGCAACCAUCACUGAAGCAAAUCUCACUGCCUCUUUCGCCUGCGCUGUUUCCUCCGGAAGCCGCUCUCGUGCCGAUUCCGGAGCCUGAGCUGAGGUAUAUAAAUAUCUUAGCUUUAUUUGGCUCUCUUUGUUGUAGAUUUUGCUUGGAUAAAUUCGCACCUUAAUGGUCAAUUUCCAGAUGCACUCUAUGUGUUUGUUGAUAUGUGCAAGGAAAGAACAAUUUUUUCCCCCCUGUUUGAGUGGAUUUGAUUGGAUAUUUAUUUAUUCCUUAUUUUCUUUGAUCUGUAGAGUGAUUAAUGAGCAGGGGAACUUGGGUAGCUCCAGGAGAAGGGUUGUGACUUUUGAUCUGAAUAUCACGACGUAUGAACCGGUCGCAAUCCACGAAGAGGAGAAUCAUCUAUCGGAAGAUGAUGAAGAGCUCGAAGCGAUAGAGAAAGUGGAGAAGCCGAAAAGUGAAGAGGUCAAUUUUACGCUGGAGUCCACGACUUACCCUUCGAAUCAUAGAUAUCAGAAUUGUGAAAGUGAUGAUGAUGCAAACGGAGAACACAGUGAGGAUGGAGGAGAUGAAGAGGAGGAUUACGAGGACUAUGACAUUGAUGAGGUGGAUGAUGGUGAUGGAUUAGGUAUCGUGGAAAAUGAGGAGUCGUAUGAAUCAUACUUUUCACGGCCAUCUGAUGACGAACUGCAAAUCACGCGAGAAGUCAACAGUCCUGCACCCAAGAGCAUGUGUUCUCCCGACAAGCAAUCUACCCUUUUGCUUAAACGCAAACCGCGGGACAGGAGCCAAUACGUGCAUCCCGUGUUGAACCCAGUGGAGAAUCUAUCCCAGUGGAAGCAAGUUAAGGUUCACACUAUUCCCGUAAGGAGUAUGGAUAAAGAGAAUAGAGAUUUGGUUCUUGAGAGCAAGAUACGUAUUAGCCCUAAUCCUUCGAGAAAACAGGAAGUCUCCGUGGACAGUAGCCUUUCAUCUUGGCUAGUUUCGUCAGGAAAAUCAACAGUUGAAAGGACAGUAAGAAACUCUGCUCAAACGCAUCCUUCAUUCAGUCGAGAAGAACGAGCAAUAUUGGGUUCUUCGACUGUUGAGUAUACGAAGAGAACACCAGCAACUUUGUCUUCGAGGUCUCCAAGCAGGAGCCCUGAUGAAAUCGCCAUCGUGGGUGCUGGCUCUGGCUAUUCUUUUUGUAGAUAUAAUUCUGAUGCCAAAGGGAUCCCAAAUACCACAAGCAAAUACAGAGAGGUAUAAUUUAUAACAGAAGAUACGUAGGUGUAAGUACUAAGGAGUGAGCACUUAUAUGUUUCUUGCAUUGGUUGCAGGAUAAAGUAGUUAAUUGGCAUUCGACUCCCUUUGACGUAAAGUUGGAAAGAGCUCUUAACAAAACCAGUGCUUAAUCUUGCGUGUGUUGCUUCAGUUGUCGAAGAUAUUAUUGUGUGAGUUUCAUUACGUUGUGCUGAUAAAGCAUAUUCUUAUAUUACAUUUGUGAGUUUCAUUACGUUGUGUUGAUAAAGCAUAUACUUAUAUUACAUUUGUAUAAUAGAUUUACGAGUGCAAAUUCAGCUGUUCUUGGUCUAUAAUAUCUCAGGCAUCAACUUAUGAGUCAUUCUGCUGUAUUAUAUUAGAGUGUGUUGUCUUUAGUUAAUGCUUGUGUGAAAUUUUACAGUUGGAUUUAUAAUUUACAUCAGAACAUUUUACAGGGAUCCGAAACAAUGUUGCCAUUAUCAUAUUAAAUGAAUGAUGUUUUAUAGAACUUUCUUUGCAAGAGAGUUGGCUUCUCUUUUUUAUCAUUUUGCAGCAAGUUGCAUAACAGUUGGGAACUGAAUCUCUUGCUGUGUUAGCUCGAAGAACAGCUUUGUGAUUACUUAUCGAAUCACUUUUUCCAAUGUAUCAUCCAGUAGCAAGAUGCAUAGCAUGCGCACUUAAUCACUAGAUAGAUGAUGGCAAACAAAUCACAAAAUUCAAUUUCUAGAGACUUCAAAUGUCUUAAAUCAUAUUUAACGUGCGUCGAUCUUCGAUUCCGAUACCUCAUCAAUGAAAAAUGAAGUACCAAAGCCUUGGCAAUUCCAGAAGUAUUCUAGCUCAAUUCAGGUGGAAGUGAGCUACACAGAAAACUGAGGUACGACUUACUACUCCACACAGAAAAGUGUCUAGUCUAAGUCAUAUAUUUAUUUUCAAUCUUUCUUAUAGCAUCCAUCUUUAUAAUGUGCACAGUUAUUAUUACUCAUGUUCAUAGCAUCUUCUUGUAGUAAAAACAGGACAUAUUUACCUAUACAGAGCUUAAACCAAGCCUAGCUCUUUUUCCUGUUCACUUCAUAAAUGUAGCCCAGAACGAGCACUGCCGCAGCAACUGCAACACGAGCAGCAGUUUGCACCAUCCACAUAGUUGAUUUUGCUCCUGAGUUGCAUCUUGAAGGAAUGCGAGGGGGAGUAAAGCCCAAUUCUGAGAGUUUCUUGUGAGAUUCCGCAUAGUCCUUGAAAAACGCAUCUUCAUCCUGCACAUGUUUAUAACAUUGUUUGACCAAAUAAGCAUGAGCAAGUACUUUAUAGUUUGUACAGCAUAUUGACAGAAACAUACAAGCGAACGAUACAUACACACACUAGAUGCAUAAACAGACACCAUACACUGGAUACAGACGCAAACACAUAGUUGUGUCAUAGCCUUUUGCAUCAUAGUUUAUGAUUGUAGUAUAUUAUCUUUUGUCCUAUCCCUAAAAACUAUGAAAUCCGAUAAUACCUUUGCGUAUAGCUCAACAUAACGGCGGAAUACAGGAUCCUCCACUAGAGUCUUGUCGCUCGGAAGCUUCAGAAGCCCUUCUGAUUCUUCUUUUAAUAGUUCUCUGCUCCGGUGCCAACGAAAAGCUAGUGAGAUCCUCUAUUGCAUAUUCGAAACAUCGAUUUGUCAGUUUUGGUCUUACAUGAAGUAGGAGUUGUCGAAUUUGAGAGGGUCCUUUGUCCAAGCACCAUCAAAUCCCGAUCUCUCCGGAUGAGCUCUACCCUGUAGCAUAAAAAUACAAAUAUGCACACUUAAUGACACCAUAGCAUCGGUAUACGACGACGGAUAUACGAUAUGGUUCUUACCAGAGUGUGACCUCCUGAUAGCGCUACAAUGUCCUUGUCUGAUAGACCCAUCCGAUAAAAGACCUCUCUUAGAUGCGAUGCCCCUAGUAAUGGAGUAUUCAAAACAAGAAGCUCAUAAGUCCAGGAUCAUGGAAAAGGAGAACUUCGUACUCGAAUUCAAUAAUGGCCACCAACACACUGAGAACCGGUAAAAUUUUCACGGCAUUGAAGAUGAUGAACAUCAUAACUGACCUUGCUUAGCAUCUGGGAGUCGACCCUCCUCUGGACAACGCGACGAAUCCUGUAACACGACAUUUGACGUGGAUAUGAACAUGCAGAUUAAACAUAAGAUAUGAAGUUUUCGUCAAUCUAACAGGAUGGCUCUGAACAUACCUUUCUGCCAGGAACGAAGUCGAUAGUCGGGCCGCCAGUAACUUCGACAGCAACAACUCCCGCAAGCUGUCGGCAAUAGCGAAGAGGAGAGUAGUAAGAGAAAGCUGUAAACGAACCGAAGUGCCCGAGAUUUGCAGAAUAUAGUGUAAUCACCUGAUAGAGAUCUGCGUAUGUGAUUUUCGGAUGCUUUGCCUUCACUGGUUCUGAACACCAAAUACAAUGUCCAAACAACUUUCAAUAUACCAGUUUCCUCUAAUUCAACUAUCAGAAAACAUUAAGGAGAGCACCACUGCAUGUCUAAGUCACCACUUUUCUUAGAAGAGUAAGAGAAGCUAACCUAGAAGAUCAAUAGCAAUUUUUAGGCCAGCAUUGGCACUGUGGCUAUAUUCUUCCUCGAACCUGAUCGAACCAUUCGGACCGCCUGUUUUUGUUUUCGCAUCGUAAGAUCCAGCGUCGUGCCAUCUACGAAAUGCGAACGAUUAUUCGCAAAACAAUUAGGUGUUAUCUUUAGAACUUGUUCAAAUGUAGAGAGACAUUGUACUUAGACUUCACAAGACAGAGUAAUGAAGGCAAUAAAAUGAGAAAACAUGAUUGUGAAUUAUCUUAUUUUGGGGCAUGCAUCAAUCAUGUAUGUGUCGCAGCGCGGCACAAUCCUAUGAGCUUCGACGCAAUUGCGACUUUUCGGUCAUUUUAUAUUUAACCUUAACACACCAAUUUACAAUCCAAAUUCAGUUGCGAAACAUGGUACUAUGCCUUCAUUGGAUUCACAUCUACCACUAUUCAAGCAUUUAAGUUCGCCGCUAAGGCCUAGUUUCGAAAUAUGUUUAUUGUUUGUCAAAUGCAACAACUUUGAUGCUUUAGAGCUCCAGACAACUGGAUACAGAUGGCUCUUGAGGAGUGCACGAAAUAACCGUUUGUUUGUAGAAGUUUUAGUUAUCAGAAAACGGUUUUUAUCAAUGAAUACGUAAUAUCCUCUAAAAUUCCAUGAAGUUGCGAUUAAGUCUCGAAUCUUUUCUCAUUCCAAAGAUUGGAGAAAACAAAGAAAAAAAGUAAGCCCAGGUGAGCAAUUUUGCUCAACUAAAGCAAAUCCAUUCAAAAACGAUUGAGCAAAACACAACCGUUAUUCUAAGGCAUAAUCUAUAUCCGGAUAAUUAUGUCUGCGCUCAAGACUUUUUCAUAGGCUAAUAAGACAUGAACUUGCGUUAAAUGGAAGAAAAUUAAUUAUGUUAGGAGGCUGGCGUGAUUCAACUAAGAACCUCUUGCUCUAAUACCAUGUGAAUAGCGAGAAAAAAAUGAUGAAUAUGAACUACAUGCAACAACCUGACCCACCAGUAAUAAUAACUCGUUGAAUUCAAACCACUGGCCUAAAAUGUUUAAACACAGUUAUUAUUACUAACGUGUAAACUUCAUAUGUUCUAAUCAGAAUUAUUUUUCCAUCUGAUGUGUUACACUACACUUACGCGAGGCGAAGCAUGAUGGGUGCACAACUCUUGCUGGAGAUGAGGGCUCGGAGGUCCCUCCGAGCCUUCUCGAUCUCCUUCAUGUACUCCUCGUCCACCACAGGCCCCUCCUCCAUUGUUAAUAAUAUAAAUUAUUAUUAAUCACUACUUAUAACUUGUAAUAAUGCACAGAGCUAAAAGAUAAGAGAGAACGAAAUAGGUGGAGUUGGUUUUUUAUAGUAGUACGUAGGAAGAGAGAAUGAGUGUGGAUUGGAAAAAGAAAAAACCCAAAAAAUAGAAAAAAGGAAGAUUCGAAGAUGUUUGGAGAAAGGAAAGGAUUUGUCCAGAGAAUUAGAGAAGGAGAGUACACGUGUCAAGUUUUGUCUCGCUGAUCUCUUUGAUAUUCUCAAGGAAUUAUUGCCUACACCGGGUGUACAAGUACAUCUCAUUAUUCUUAAAAAAAUUUUUGUUUUUAAAAAAAAGCCCAUGUGAACUUUCUCCGUUAUUCAAAUCUACUCUAACUAUUAGUAUAUGUUAGUUUAUCUCCAGUUAAAUCCGGAUUAUGUUUCAACACAGGUUAAAAUAGAGGUGAGAUACUAUAUAUUUUUUCUCUUUUUAUUUAAUUUAUUUUCCUAACCUAUCCGUCGUAGCCCCUUACUCUCUCUAGGGUUUUUCUGAUAGAUCUUUAUCGGUAUGUAAAAUAAUAUUAUAAUAACUCACAGAGCGUUAUAGGAAGAAAAAUUCUUGAUCAAUUUGCGGAAGCGAGAAGUUCGGCUAUGAUCUGAACGUCACAGAUCGAACUUGGGUAAUUUGGUUCUCUCUCUUUUUUCAGGCACUCCUCCGUAUGGUAUGGAACCGACCGUAUAGGAGAAUUGGAAGCUGCUCAGUUGGAGCCUCUAGGGAGAAUUGUUCCUUUGAUAAUCUAUUUCUUCAAUAUUCUAAAGAAGAUGUCAUGAAUCUUUUGAUCUAUUUCAUGUAUAGAAUUUUGUUAGUUUAGUUGUUUUUGGGAUUUGAGAUGAGUUUUCAUAUGCUUAGAGCUCGAUUUCGUGAUUUUGGCCAAAUAGAAGGCACAAAUGGAGGAGGCAUAUAUAGUGAGAGGGCAGUGGCAGCAAAAGAUGAUGCUUUUUCUUUUCCAGUUCGAGAAAGAGGAUGACUGUUGUAAGGGCAAAUAAGAAAAUAAGAAGACUGUUAAGAGCAAAUAAGAAAAGUGGUAGUCACAAGCAUAUUUAAAUGCACAAAAUAGUCAUUUUACAAGAGAUAAUGGUUAUUUUUAACGAUGCACUAACAGAUUAAUCUAACUUUAGGAGUAUAUAUUUGAAAGAGUUUGAAACUCUUUUAUCAGCUCUGACAUACAAACCAACUGCACUACAGAGAGACGGUUGUUCAUCACUUUUAUGCGAUCGCAUUUUUCUCUGAAAAAUCUUCCACCAACAAAUACUACUCAUGUAAUGUACCAGAAAAGGAAGCUGAAUUAUUUAUCCACAUCUAUUUCAUAACAUAGCAUUCUCCUUUUGCAAUAUGCAUUGUUGCAAAUACAUAUGUUUGGAGCAUCUUCUUUUGGCAUAUCAGUAGAAUCUUUCAACACCUAUACAUAAGAAAUUGAGACAUGUUCCAUAUUUUACUACUGCUGGGUUUCAGUACAGAGCAUAAAAGAUAAUCAUUUGGUUUUCCUGAACUUCCUGGAUGUAAUCAGAAUGAUCACCGCCGCAGCGACUGCAACUCCGACGGCGCUCCUCACUAGUAAUUUCCUCCCCUUGGCAACUGAUUUGCAUGUCGAAAGAAUCGGAGGGGGGGUUUCUGAUUCGCUUCUCGACGGGAUGCGCGGGGGAGUAAAGCCCAGUUCUGAGAGUUUCUUGUGUGAUUCCGCGUAGUCCUUGAAAAAUGCAUCUUCAUCCUGCCCAUAUUUAUGGCAUUGGAGAGAAAUGCUGUGUGAGGUAGCGACUUUACGGUAUAUCGACAUUAAUGCGCAAGCGCAAACAUAAGAUUAUUAUGCUAGAUUACAAAUGCAUACACAAAACACUAGAUCUGCGCUUGCGCACAAACACGAAAACACGGAAUAGAUGCAAUUUCGCUAUGAAGGUUAUGCAUGCAUAUAUGUACCUAGAUGUGAGAAAUCCAUAUACAAUUCCAAUAAUCAAUGAAGCGAUUAGAAUGUCUAAAAGUUGCAUAAUCUUAGUGUUAAAUAACGUGAAAUAACUGUUCUUCUCCAAAAGUUUAUAUCAUUAUGCCCGAGACGUGGACGUGAAUUAAAUGGAAAGAGAAAUUGUGUGGGCUUCUUCUCUUAUUCCAUGAGUUUAUUGUCAUACUAUUUUAUCUAUUUUUGUCAUUCAGAAGGGAAGGAAAAAUCGCGAAUUCCGAAAACUAUGAGAUUAAACAAUACCUUUGCAUAUUGCUCAACAUAACUGCGGAAUGCAGGAUCAUCCACUAAAGCCUUGUCAAGUGGAUGCAGAAGCUGUGCUGAUUCUUCUUUUAGCAGUUUCCUGAUUCAGUUCUCAGUAAAAAGAUAAAAUAACAGCACAUGAACAGGGACUGGAAUAGUAAUUUUCUUAGUUUUGGUCUUACACAAAAUAGCUGUUGUCAAAUUUGAGAAAGAUGUUUUGGCUCCCAUCAACAUUAAGUAUUGAUCUCUCCUGAUGAGCUCGACCGAAUAAGUUUAAAAUAUACACAUUUAGUUAGUAAAAUUCGACAAAACAGCAUUAAUAUGCGAUAACAGAUGUACGAUAUGCUUUUUACCAGUAUCUGACCGCCAGAUAGUGCGACAAUAUCCUUGUCCGAUAGGCCCAUCCGAUAAAAGACGUCUCUUAGAUGCUGUGCCCCUAUUCAUCAUAGAGUAUUCAACACUAGAACUUAUUAAGUUUGCAUAACAAUUUGCUAGGAAACUUCAAAAUAGUGAAGCAAUAAGCCAUUUAUUCAGGUGAGUCUAAACUCUAGAGUAUGUAGAAUAAACAUGGGUUAUAAUACAGGUUAGAUCAGGUUGAUCAGGUGAAAGUUCGACAGGACGAAAUAAAGGUGAGGUCAGGUUAGGCAAAAUAAUCUGAAUUACGAUCAGAAGCCGAAGUACUCGAGGUGUGGUUCAAUCACAAUAGACCUGCAAAAGCUAUUAAAUCUUAUAUGGGGUUUGUAUGUUCACAAAAAUUGUUGCUGCUCUGCAUGCGAUUACUAUAUGUAUGAAUCAAUUCCAAAUCAUUAAUUCGAUCCAUUUUUCCUUUUGCGUAGCCAUUACUGAACAAACUAAAGUAACAACCUGGGGCAAGAAUAAAAAGACUCAAUUGAAGAAUUAUGGAUUACAGGCACUGUAAUCAACCUUUACUAAAAUCUGGGAGCAAUCCUUCGUUUGCGCAGACCGCUGAAUCCUGAAAUAAGCUUGAAUUAACAUAAAAUGUGGUCUUAAAAUGAACAUGAAUACUGAUAUCUUGCUUAAUUUAACAUGAGAAACAAAAAUUCCAGCAAUUGGAUACUUCUCACAAGAUGGUACUGAACAUACCUUUCUGCCAGGAACAAAGUCGAUAGUCGGUCCACCGGUAGCUUCCACAGCAACAACACCAGCAAGCUGAUAGAGUAUUAAGUCAUAUAGCAAUUUUAAAGCAGUAGUCAAUAGUAAAGACUCUUAAGCACGGGUGUGCGACACAGACACACCAAUCUAGUCCCGGGAGCAUAAGAAUCAAGGACUUUAAUACUAAUAACUGAGCUUAAGUAUUUUGGGCCGGUGAUUUGAGUCAAACGAGUUAUUAGUAUUAGUGGGCUGGAUCAUUACACUACCUUGACAGAAAAGAAACAUAAUAGAAUACAAGGAAGUAAUCCGACUAAACAGCCCAAGAUUUAGAGAAUAUGUGUACCUGAUAGAGAUCUGCAUAUGUGAUUUUUGGAUGCUGUGCCUUCACCAGCUCUGAACACCAAGCAUAAGAAGCAAUUCACUAAGCCUGUUAAUUUCUUUGAAAACAUUGUUAUAGUUUCUUUAGCAUGAAACUAGCAUGAUUAAUUCAACUGAUGAAGUCGUCGAGUGGUCGACCGAAUCGUCAUAAACUUAGCACUGGAAAGAGUAGCAAGAAACCCUCGAUAACAUAUUUCAUGUGCCGAAACAAACAACUAAUGAAACAUUGUUCGUCAGAGCUUACGAAACGCGGAGCAACAGAUCAAUGCAGAAAACAUGUUGGAACAAGGACUUGAAGUUGCAAAUGGAAGUAAGCUAGACACUGCAACCUAACAAAAGCAUUAUACCAUUUUCACAGUUUUCAAACCUACAGUAAUCUACUGUGAUUAAGAUUUGUUCAGUGAAUACAGGUAAAUGAAAAUAGUGUAAAAACUAAAGAAAGAGAUGAGCCUUCAAUCUGUUUGACAGGAACAUUGUGUGCCGACGAAUUAUGCAUAACUUUUUACCAAAAAAAGAAGGGAGCUAUGCAUGGCAUGAAAGAAACAGAUUUUGUGGUGGAAGAGUGUAAAUUUCACAUAUAAGCUAUGAGAGAACAAUGGUUUUAUAUUAUAUAGUAAACACUCCCUAUGUUGGGACUCGAACAGAAAUUAAAUGAAGCAGAGAACUCAGAAGGACUCGAACUUAGAAAACUCUGCUCUGAUACCGUACGUGUUGGAUAAUGUAAAAUAAUCAUCGCCCUCCGAAAAGCUUACGGUAUAAAAAAAAAAAACACUGGUAUUUUAAUGCGAGACAUGCAACAACAAGCAUGGGAAUGAGUUACAAUGUAAAGUUACUAAAGUACAUACUAAUUUAGUAAGUAUAAUAAAGUCAAGCAACUAUCAAAAUUUGCAUAGUGGAUCACUGCAGUGAUGAGAAGAUCCUUUUGUUUUUUGUCAGAAGAGUAAAAGCAGUUAUCUAUAUAUAUAUAUAUAUAUAUAUAUAUAUAUAUAUAUAUUUAGAGUGAGCUAUGUACUUUACAAGUAUCACCAUCAUGGGCUAUAUAUUUUAGCCAUGUGGACCUAUACUUUUUUGCAUAUUAAUGGCCCUUGAUUAACACUAUUUCCACCACCACCACUACCACCACCUACCUGACCAUCAUCUCAACCUCACAUCUCUCAAUCCAAGCGGCUAAAAACCCGAAGUAUCACCCAUGGCAACUUUUACAAUGUAUCUAGCCUACUUAUAUAUAAUAUAUAUAUAUAUAUGUAUAAUAUAUACAUAUAUAUAUAUGAGUUGGACUGGGCUACAUAUUAGUUAGCAAAAUCUCAUUGUUGCUCUACCAGUUUUUAGCCUUUGGAUCAACUCUUUUCAUCAUUUCAUACACUUGCGACUUAAUAGCUUAUAACCCAGUGGGCGACACCUAACCCUAGGGGAGCCACUCAACUCUAACUGAUAUUACAUAUCUAACCCUAUAAUACUUUUCAUUCAAGGGGCUAAAAAUUGAUAGCAAAAUGAGCGUCUGUUACUAUUAAUAGUAUUCCAGUCUACUUCAAUAUAUAAUAUAUAUAUAUAUAUAUAUAUAUAUCAUAUAUUAGUAUAUAUUAUAUAUAGAGUCCGGCUACUAUACUAAUCGAUAAUACCAAGCCCUUGUACUAUUGAAGUUUUCACCGAUAGAUCUAAACUUUUGAUCAUUUCCACCAAUUAGAUCUAUACUAUUAACCAACCAUCCACUCAACCUUAGGAGACCCUAUUAAUUUAACCGGCUGACCGCUAUCAUCCUACACCGCCACAUUUUUCAUCAAACGCGGCUAAAAACUCAAUUAGUACAAUGGCUUUGGUGCCAUUGUAGUCAUUAGUAGCCAAAUUAUCCCUCUCUCUCUCUCUCUCUCUCUCUCUCUCUUUAUAUAUAUAUAUAUAUAUAUAUAUAUAUAUAAUUGAGCUCCUGUGCUUUUAAAAGUAUCAAGUUAUUGGUGCUUGUAAGUUUUUGGCCUUUGGAUUAAUGGAUGUGCGGUUAGGAUGAUGUGGGCCUCCUAGGAUUGAGUGGGUGGUUAGUUUAAUAGUAUAAUUUAACGGAUAAAAAUGAUUAAAGACAGAGAUCUAACGGUAAAAAAUUUACAAGCACCAAAUGCUUGCUGCUUUUACAAGCACCAUAGCCAGACUCUAUACAUAUAUAUAUAUUUUAAUUUGGAUGCGCCAAGGACCUGCACUAAAUGCACGUCCAUGGGAUGUCCAUGUCGUACACGAGGCUGACACGAACACGUGAGGUUUCUAGAAGUGUCCNAUAUAUAUAUAGGGAUAAUUGGAUAUAACUCCCUACAAAAGUAUAAAAUAGCAAAUAUAUUCCUACAAAAUUUAAGUUACCAGAUUUAUCAAUCCAAAAGUCCUCACGUCUGCAAAUAUAUCCUUUUGAUAUCAAAAUUUAGAUAAUCAUUGGUUAAAAAGGCUAACCACAAUUAGCUAAGGGGUGAAAUGACAUUUUUACCCCUUCUAUAUAUACUUUGUAUUUCAAUGUUGAGUUCCAUCGCCUUUUUCACACUCUCCUCUCUAUCCAUGGCGACGGCAAAACCUACAGCGGCAGCGAUGUCGAAGGCGAAGCCAUCAGUCGCGGCAAAAAUGAGGUACGCUGCACGUGCCGCAGCAAAGACGAGAGGAGAGAGGGAAAGAAAGAUAGCUUUUUACAGGGGCAAAUUUGUAAGAAUAAAAUAGUCAUUUUAUACAUCCACCGCUAAAAGCAAAUCUAACGGUGGGAUAUAUAUAAAUGAACCAUAAUUUUUGGAGGGAUAUAUUUGAUAUUUCAUAUCUUUGUAGAGACCAGUAUAAAAUUAACCCGUAUACCUAAAAGAUCAAUAGCACUCUUUAGGUCAUAAGAGGCGCUAUGCUUGUAUUCCUCAAAUCUGAUCGAACCAUUCGGACCACCUGUAUUUGUUUCCUUAUCAUAAGUCCCAGCAUCAUCCCAUCUGCAAAAGGCAAAUGAUUGAUAUAAAAAGGUCUUUGUUUUCAUUUUUUUCCAUUCUAAGAAGCCCUUAGUUAUGUAAUAUUUUACUGUUGAAUGUAAAUUUUUUUUUUUGUGAGAAAGGUGGCAUACUACUUGCUUUAUUUAUUUUCUUUAGAAAUAGACUUAGCUAGAAUAUAAAUAUUAAAAACGUAUUUGCUAAUAGCUUAAGCCAUUAGACACAAACUAUUGUUUAGAACUAGAGAUAAAUCUCUCCAUUUUAUGUGCUCAAUAAUAGUUUUAAGGUUGCAUAUAAAUAUCAAAAACGUUGCUUCCUAAUAGCUUAAGCUACAAGAGACAAACAAUUGUAUAAAAUGGUAUCGGAGCUAGGGCUGAAUCUUCACCAGUUUUAAGAAGCCCUAAGUUCGGUUUCUACAUCUCCCAUUUUUUUUUUUUUUUUUUUUUUCAUUGUCUCUUUCAUUACCUCUUUAAUCAGUGUAUUCUAUAUAGUUCACCUGAUAUCCAAUGUUUUAGAAAAUUGGGUCGAAUAGCAAUCCGAAAAUAUUACUGAAAUGUCAGUACGAUGUCCUAAACAUUUAGAUAUUAUUUUCAAUUUUAUUAUAUAGAAAAACUCAUAAAGUUAUUUUCUUCAACCGCUAAAAAUUGAAAUCACAGCCAAGCUGGGCUCGGUUCCAAUUACUAUAAUAACCGAGUCUCCUUAUACAGCUCCAACUACUUCAGAAGUUGCUAUUCAAAUAAAUAUAUCAAACAACACCGUAUUUGAAUUUGACCGCACGCAGUUACAACAGCGUGCAGUUGCAACCACAUAAUUCACCUCCAUACACACAGCAACUGAAACUGCAGGACGACGAGGUCCAACUCCCAAACAACCCAAUAACCCCCGUACAGCAACUGAAACUGCACACACUUUCAACUACACGCAUGCAUCUCCAGCUACACUGCAUUUACAACUACAUUCCGGCUACAGAGAGAGAGAGAAAGAGAGAGUACUCACGCGAGGCGGAGCAUGAGAGGGGCAGUGGCGACGUCGUUGGAGAUGAGGGCUCGGAGGUCCCUCCGAGCCUUCUCGAUCUCCGUCAUGUACUCCUCGUCCACCACAGGCCCCUCCAUUGUUUAAAGCUUAUUAGUUAGUAUGUUUUAAUGAAUUAUAUAUACAUAAUGUGGAGACAUAUAUAUAUAUAUGUAUAUACUUUUAUAGUUGGAGGUGAGGGGUUGGGGGAGGGUGAUGGAAACUGGGAAAGGAAUGGGAUUCGAGGGAAAGGGAAGACUGGAGGAGUGCGCACCUAUAUAUGCUUUUCGGCUCGGCCUCCAAAAGUUGAUACCUCGAAAGCAGUCUGGCGGCAGAAUAACCCGAGAAAAACAAAAAAUCUGUGGGGGGCAUUUUGAGGCAGCUUCCUGCAUGGAUUUAUUAGAUACGGAUAUAAAAAAUAAAGGGUUAAUUUCAUGCAGAUUCAUAUAUACAAAGAUAUCAAACGACAAAUAUAUUUCUAUAAAAUUUAAGAUAUCAGAUUUAUCAUUUAAAAAUUUUUUUAAUUUGUAAAAAUAUAUCUUUUCAAAAGUUCUAAUUCAUUCGUAUAUGUUCCUGUCGUUUGAUUCCCCGUUAAUUUGUUAACUGUGGAUGCAUAUAUAAAAUAUCUAUUUUAUCCUUAAAUAAUUUAUCUAUGCAAAAUAUUAUUUUUCUUUCUCUCUCUUUCAUCGCUUUCACGGCACGUGCAGCAUAUCUUAUUUUUGCCGUGACCGAGUGCCUCGCCUUCUAUGCCACUGCCAUCGUAGGUCUGUUGCCAUAAAUAAAAAUAAGAAGAUGAGAAAGAUUGCGGAACUCAAUAUUAAAAUACAAAUUAUAUAUAUAAGGGUAAAGAGGUUAUUUUCUCCUUAGCUAAUUGUGAUUUCCUUAGCUAAUUGUGAUUAGCUUUUUCAACUCAUAGUUAUCUAAAUUUUAGUAACAAAAAGAUAUAUUUGCAGACAAAAGAAUUUUGGAAGGAUAAAUCUGAUACUUUAAGUUUUGUAGGUAUAACGAUCCAGCCCACUAGCAACAAUAACUCAUUCGGUCCAACCACCGGCCCAAAAUGCUUAAACCCAAUUAUUAUUACUUAGUGUCUAAGUUUCUUAUAUACCCAAUUAUAUCCUAUUCCUAUCCGACCGAUGUGGGAUUAUUGGGGCGUAACAUACUCUCAUUGUUAAGGCCGUGACGUCUUCGUUAGUCUAAUCACACACACAGCCCAAGAUCACCAGGCGAUGUGAGACUUGUCUCACUAGCCUUUAUCAUUCCGACCCUGACUUAGUCAAGACUCAUCUCACACUUCCGGCUGGUAAACUGGCUCUGAUACCAAAUGUAAUAACUCAGCCCACUAGCAACAAUAACUCUUUGGGCCCAACCACCGGCCCAAAAUGCUUAAGCUCAGUUAUUAUUACUUAGUGUCUAAGUCUUUUAUGUACCCAAUCAUAUCCUCUUUCCUAUCGGAUGUGAAAUUAUUGGGAUGUGACAGUAGGGAUAUAUUUAAUAUUCAAUAUUUGUGCAAGAAGCCACAUGCAAUUAUCCCAAAAAUAAAAAUUCGAGGGAUUCAAACUCAGAUAGAAAUUAGAACCCGAAGCAGAGUGGAUUUUACAUUAUAUAAUAAAUAUGAAUGUUUGAUGUUAUAUUUGAAUUUGUAGUUCGAAAAUUAUAUUUUAAUACAAUAUGUUUAGAAAUAUGGGAAAUGGAAAUGAUUGUUUCAUGAGUUUUGGAUUUUUGGUUGGAUAUGAUUUAGGAUAUUGGAUUUUCAAAAUAUGUUGGGUUCGGAUUCAGGUUUGUUGUUGGAUUUGGGUUCAUAUUUUAAAUUUUAAAAUAAUUUAUAUAACCUUCCAAAUUUUCAAUAUCUUGUAAAACUACAUGUCUAUGGACGUGUUUUAACUGAUAGAUAAUGAUACGGAGGGAUAUUUUUACAAUAUAUUAAAAAUUUGAAAGGAUAAAUAGAUUAUUUUAAAAUCUCAACGGACAAAAACACUUAUUUGCAUAAUUUUAAAAGAUAUACUAGCAUUUAUCCCUUUAAUAUUUUGAAAAACUUAUACAUUUACAUAUAUUAUAUAAAAAUUGUACAAAUGUGAUAUUCGUCCCACAUCAGGUGAGAAAAAAUGAUUGAAAAUUUGUACUAGUGAGUCGAGUCCAACAAGUUAUCAGUGCUCGCGGACUGAGUAUUUACGAUAAGAUUGAGUUUUGGGAUUUGGACAUGCGAUGCACCAAAUUGUGUCAACAAUAUUUCACUAAGGAGCUCCUCAACAAAGUCGCACUCGAAAACAACUAAAAACACAUGACUUAAACAUUUCUAUCAUAUUAGGUGAAGCAAAACAAUGCAUGCUCAAUUUAUAUAUGUACUUACUAUGUAAUUAAGUAACAUUCAUAUAAUGGAAUUCAAUAUACAAAGUCACGAAUUACUCGCAGAAAUUAACCGAAAAGGCGCAACUUAUUCUGCACAAGAUCAACAUAGUAUGAUGCUCUUUGCCUCUUUUUUAUCUUCUGCAUAAUCUAGCCAUCAGUCCCUUACAGCUUGGAAGCAGUCAAACCUACCAAAAACAAAAAAAAAGAGAAGACAAAGAACACCAACUGUCAGUUCAGAAACUGCAGCAGAACUGCUUUCAGUUCACACGAGGUCGAGGCGUACCGAGUUGCUUCGCAUUCACAAUGCUUGGACAAGCCGCUGGAGCCGGACCGGUUUCAUCCAAGAAAGGCUCAACAUUAUUGGGGUUGGCCCAUAUCGGGUAUCCUUUGAUCUUACCCUGUUUGUUCAGAUACAAAAGAGAACCUCUUCGGUCCAUUUUACGCGAACUUUUUUAAGUUUUAAAUCGAAUUCGUACCGACUUGUAACUUGUGCUUACCAGAACAUUCAGAGCAGCAAGCGUUGCCAUUCCUUCGCGCGUCCACUGAGAGACCACAAGUGAAAUCGACAGGCAGCAUUGGUGAACAGAAUUGCGUAAAAUUCGGUGCAGGAAAGAAACAACUGCAGGUUACCUUCGAGGCAGAUGCAAUGUGCGGUACUACGAUGGCGUUCUUCUGGUCAGCUAGUCCAGGUUUCAUGUACGGUUCGUCCUGUCGAAUUCAACGACAGGUUUAUUACGGUAAUAUCGUGUCGUCAAGUUAGUACUAGCUAGCUAGGUUUUUGAAUUUUAAGGGUACCUCGAAGACGUCGAGCCCGACGCGGAACAUAGGGUUUACUUUCAGGUGUUCCACCAAGGCCGCUUCGUCGAUUACUGGUCCUCUGCUCGCGUUCACGAGAAUUGCCUCCUGCAGUAACGACUGUCAGUCAUAUCUGUCGAUGUAAAUAAUUGAAGGGAGGGGAGUUAAACCUUCUUCAUGAUGGCCAGACUGUCCUUGUUUAUAAGAUGAUAUGUAGUUUUAUCGAGAACCGGAUGCAGACUUAUCUGCAAACAGCACACACUGCAUUGUAUUAGUUCAGUUGUACAAGAUGUAAUCAGAUAGCAAGUAUGGUAAAAUAAUAAUGAGAAGCAUGAAGAUCGGACCACGUCGGCCUCGCGCAGAACAUCCUCCAUUGUGGCAGCCCUUUUCCAUGUAACAGGCUGCUCACCAUUUGCUUUCAGAAACUGCCCAUAUGCUGCAGGGAAACAACAAGAUCAAAGACAUUCUUUUUUGUUGAAAAAAAAAAAAAAGUUUAUAUUUAAGUUCAAAUGAGCAUGCCUGUAACGAAUUUCUCGAGUCGUGUUGCUUGAUACAGAUCGUAGUAUAUGAGGUUCAUCUUGAAACCCUCAAUCUGUCCAAAGAAGGAUAUCAGACGCGGCAGCAAAGCAAAUACAAAGAAAGCGCAAAUUUGUUUUCAUCCUUCACUACUUCUAUCAUGUUAAUUGCUCGGUCUCGUUUACUAAGCGAGUGACGCUGAAUGCGGUUAAGCGAAGCAUCAUAAGAAAACAUUAGACUAUGGUUGUUCAUAGCAUGAAUGUAAUACCAUCAUCCUGGCAUACGCUGAUCCGAUACGACCGGCCCCAAUAACUCCGACAGUCUGUCCCUUCAGCAGAUUUCCGACAAACCUAAUGAGAUGAUGGAAUUAAACCGAUUUUCCUGUCAACAACAACAACAACAACAACAACUCUACAAGACUAUGAUAAACAUUAAGUGUAAACAUUUCAUACAGAUGGGGAAGCCAUCCAUCAUAGAGGCCUGCUCUCAUGAACUGAUCUGCCUCAACUAUUCUUCUCGCCGCCGCCAGAGAAAGUGAUGCAGCUAAUUCUGCAGUCGUUUCCGUAAGAACUCCCUACGAAGAACAAGAAGAAGUCAGAAGUUUCAAAUUCAGAAUGGUGCCAUUAAUUUAAUAACUACAAAAACUCUAUAAAUAUAAGAACACAAUAACCUACAUAUAAUACUUGUUUGUUGUGCUAUUCCUAACCAUUUUUUGGUUAUGUUCACUAUCUCUCUGUAGCAUAAGCAGAAGCUCAGAAUCUCAUUUUAGCUUUCUGCUGCAGCAGGCAUUUUAGACUUUUGCUUGGAAAACACUUUACGGAAGAUGACUGUUGUCGAAAGCAAGAGCAGAAGCAAGGCUGACGUAAAGCCGAAUUCAAACGUACCGGGGUGUUUCCGACCGCAAUUCCGUACUUGGUAGCGGCACCGACGUCGACAUUGUUGUAACCAACAGCCAUGUUGCUGAAAGCACUCCCGCCUGCUCUCUUCAGUGCACAGAACAGAACCUCCCCCCAGUCCUCUGUUAACUGCAGCUCACCCAGACAUUAAAACAAACACAUCCCAGAUGCCCAAAAAUCAGAAUAAGCUCUAGUCAGUUUCUGUAUCAGAAAAAAAAAAGGAUAAAUUGCAUUAGCAGCCCUAAACUUCAGACCACUUUGAAUCUAGUAAUCCAACCUUUCAAAAUUUUGAUUUUACUACUAAACCUUCCAAUUUGUUUGAUUUGAGUCAGUCAAUGAUACUUUGAGUUCAAAACUUACGGUAAUUACUUAGUUUAAUGAGUUUAUAACUACGAGAGUUGUAUAAAGUGCACUAGCUAAAUUUGAAAAAAUAAAUGAUGCGCUUAAAUUUGAAAAUUAAAUGUUAGAUAGUAAAAUCAAAAUUUUAAAAGAUUGGACGACCAACUCAAAAUAGUUCACCAUUCAGAUAAAUUUUUAUAGAUUCUUACCUAUUAAUUUCAAUAUGAUCAUCCACUGAAUCACAAUCUUUUCCUUACUUACAAAUCAAACAGUUGGUGCAAUUUAUUACCCAUUAAAAAAAAAAAAAAAAACUAAAGAGUGAAAUCAGCUUUCCUUUACCUGCCCAAUCACCCCAUCACAUCUGUCACCAAUGAGUGCCAGGAUAUCCUCAACUGACAAAAUGGUCUUCUUCUCAGUGCAUAUCUAAAUUCAAAAAAAUAAUAAUAAUAAUUAAAUGAUGUAAAACAACUAUCGUCCUCUAAUAGCUUGAACCAAAAAAUCCGUGAAACUCGGGCGUCAAACGCUGAUACCAUAUUAAAUAGUAUAAAACAAUCGAAUUAGUGAAAGUUUAAGUUAUCAGAGGGUUUUGAACGCAAGAUGCUGAUUGAUAUCAUGUUAAAUAAUGCGAAACAAUCGUAUCAGAGAGAAAGGAAAGAGAGGAGGGUGUGCGGUGCCUCGACGCGGCAAUCUUGGUCGGUGAGGAGACGGAUCCAACGGCUGCCGGGCAUGGGCUUGGUGCUGAUCACUCUGUAUUUUCCGCUGGGAUUCCACACUUCAAUAGAGAUGGGCUUCGCCAUUACUUCGACCUCUUAGCCUCAACAAGUGUGAGCUUCAGGUUUGAUAAAAAUAGGCUCUUUUUCUUCUUCUUCUUUUUUUUUUUUGUGUUCUUAAUAUUUUAGUGUGUGUUUGUGUGUGUGUGAGGCUAUCAAAUUUGCUGCUAUUAUCUGAAUGUAGGUAGAGUUUAAAUUAUUAUUAUUAUUAUUAUUAUUAUUAUUAUUUUAUGUUCAUUGUUCUAUGUUUAUUUUAUUUAUUUAUUUAUUUAUUUAUUUGGUAGGAAAAAUUGGUUGCAUGGUGCGUAUUGAAUUAAGGUCGAUAAGAGAACAGUGGGUUGGGACCUUACGUUUAUUAGUAACGCCAAGGAUAGAUAAGGGAAGUGAAAAGACCAUAAUACCCUUGGCCGUUCUCUGAAACUUGGAGGACAUCUUUGUUNUUAUUUUAUGUUCAUUGUUCUAUGUUUAUUUUAUAUAUAUAUAUAUAUAUAUAUAUAUAUAUAUAUAUAUAUACAUAGAUACCUAAUAAAAUCUUUAUAUAAAAUAGUGUAGGAAUGGAUGGUGGAUUAUAUCCAAUUUUUACAUCCAAACUGCUUGUUUGGCACCCAAGUCUAAAAACUUUAAAAGGCAAAUUUAAAAUUUGUCAUCCAUCUCCUAGCUAAAGUACAUUAUAAGUUAACUAACUACAACAAUAAAAAUAAAAAUAAAAAUAAAAAUAAAAAUAAAGAUAUACAUAACUUAUCCGAACUAUGAAUCAUUAUGAAUUAGCUAUUUCACCUUUUAAAAUUUUAAUUUUACUAUCCAACCUUUCAAUUUGUUUAAUUUAAAUCAGCCAACGAUACUUUGACUUUAAAAUUUAAGCUAAUUGCUUAUUUUAAUCAAUUUAUAAUUACAAGAAUUACGUAGAAUUGCAUAGAAUGUACUAACUAAACCUGCAAAACAAUUGGAUAGUAAAAUCAAAAUUUUGAAUAGCCAAUUUGUAGAGUCUAUAAUUUAGGUAGGUCUACCUAUGCGACAGUUUGGAAGAAUAUUCCACCGUCAUCGGAUAGAUGGGUUCAUCUUGUGAGCACAAAAAUCCUGCACUCAGAACUACAGAUAGUGCGUCACCAGAUCAUUGCAAAGGGAGAUAUAAAUUUAUUCAGAUGCUAUGCUGCACACAAACAACUUAACACUCUGUGGCAGAUGAAAACUCCAUUCAUGCUAAGAAACUUUGCUUCACAAAACACAGCUCAGCUGGUACACCAGUGUUUUCCACUCCCAGAAUUUUUGCUUGUAGAAGUUAGUUUUUGCAGUCCCAUAACAUAGUACAAUGGCGCAUUUCGACAGUGCAACUACAUCAAAAAAUAAGCCAACACACUGUCCACUAAUGAAGCAACACCAUUCCACAACAACAUAUGUAUAUAAUACAAAAGCAAGGAUCAAUAUGAGGUAUACAAGCAAAUACCCAACCGGAAUAACAAGACAAACAUUGUAAACUGUUAACUAUAUAUGUAUAGUAGGCACCACCAUUAGUUAACUUUCAUAUAUUAGAAUUAAUAGACUAGAGAUUAUACAAGCCAAGCUGAAGCACAACAGAUAUCUGUGACUUACGAUUCCAUGUACUGAGAAGGUGGGGGGCUUGUUUUUGUCUUCUCAGUGCCUAUACACAAUUGUAACUACGAAGUCAAAAUUUCAAUCCCACGAUUAAGAUGUUUGUCAAAAAUUUAAAAAGAAGAGGAAGAAGAAGAAAGGUACCAUAAGCCCCACGAAACUCUACUUCGCGCCAUUCUUGAACAAGGGCACAACAGCAGCACAUCAGAUGUGAGAGGAAGUCAUCACAGAAACCCCCCUGCCAUAAGCGAAGCCAUAGAUGAUAAGAUGUUGUGUGGGAUACAGUAAGAAACCUUUUUAAGCAACAGAAAUUUUCCUCUCAAAUACUCCACGGAUAUGUCGGUUACUGAAUAUACUUCGUUAAGAAGAAAUUGAUUUUUUUGGUUAUAGCAUUUAAUUAAACCCAGUAAUCAAAAGCUUCAAUUAAUCAUGAUUGCUCUGUGAGGACAUCAGAAGUUAAGACAAAAACAAUAUCACAAUAUAAAAUGACAAAUUAAAACGACUUCAAAGGUCCCUCAACGUUCAAAAUUUGCCGAAAUGGGACCUCUUUCUUGACUUGUCAUCAAGUUAGAAUCUGAUCUGAUUAAUGGGCAGAGAAUUUGCAAGAAUUUAGGCAAGGAAUAGUUACCGUAAUAUUCAGCAUCUGGCGAAGCUUCCUUCUCACACAGCAGGUGUAGCAACAACAUGAUAAUAUCAGUGAAUAUGCCAUGAGGUCAUUGCACGCUUCUGCAGAAGCUGAUGAACAAACUUCUUGUUAUUACAUACAAACCCUUGUUAACUUACACAACAAAUUACCAAAAAAAGAAAAAAACACUAAUGAUCGAAUAACUAUCAUUCUGGAAAAUAAGUACUUGCACAAUCAUAUAUCCACUUUCAAACGUCUUUUGUAUAUAAAAAUAAUUCUUUCAAGUAGAGGAAUUUUGAAAGGUUGAACUGAGUCAAGUCCAUCUGCAGAAUCAAAUCACGAAAAAAGAAGAUUGUAGACAAAAUAAAUCAUGAAAUUGUAUAAAUGGAAAAAAACAAAAGAUGCUCUAUAUCUGCUGAUUAUGGUGCCUUUUCGGCUUCUUUCAUUUUACACUCGAGACUAGAUAUCUUGUUCUGAAAUCCAUAUUUUGACAUCCAUUUCACAUAGGUAAUGCUAAAAACUUUAGAGACUGAAAUAUGCCCGGAUGCUCUAAAUUGCAGCAGAUAAAAAUGAAACAUAGUAGUUAGUAAUCUAAACUCGUUUCUCUUAGUGUUCUAGACGUUUCUUUCACAAGUAAAUGUGGAAUUAAUAAUAGCAAAUGGUGGCUUUUAGGGGGAAGUAACAAUGAGGAGCAAAGCAUGAUCAACUUAUAAUCAACUUAUAAUCAACUCGUAAUCAAGUCAAAUAUAUUAAAUGGGGGGGAAAAAAUCAAGUUUGUUGGCAAUAUAUACUUACAAACAGGCCUGCUUUUUGCAACUGUCGCUAUCUUUGAGAAUGUCCCGCAUGGAUAAAAGAAAGUCUUCAAACCUACAAAAUAUUGAAACAAAAAUUCAUAAGGAAAACGAAAAAGAUAAUUAACAUACAAACAUCGUUAAGCAAAUGAAGUGCUCCAUAGAAGAAAGAAGCAUAUGGUGAUGAUACGCCUGAAAUCAAUGGUUAGAGGCCUGCCAAUGGUAAACAAUAUGACUCUAUUUCAAAAUGGCCUAUAGUUGAUGGGAUGUCCAUACAAUUUUACCAUUUGGAAGUUCAAUGGGCUUAUGCCCUAUAAUUAGACCUCAUCCCUUGAUGGAAUUGGAGCACAUCAUCUAUUCCACAGUUCAUUAACAAAGGGUGGAGACCUAAUGGCGAGUUAAGAUUCAUAUGGUAAUAGAAAGAUUGCACCAUGCAAUUCACUUUGAAAAGCGUUUAAAGAAAACCGGGGUACAUGUUUGAAAUUAAAUGUCCUCAACUCUCCAGUUCUUUUUGUUCGUUUAAUUUUAUUUUCCAAAUUAAUUAGCAAAUGUUCGUUAGCAUUACUCUUUGCAUGUUACAGCUGCAUUACUGCUCAACAAGCAAUGCAUUUGUUUUCUUGUAAGGACAAUAUCUAAGUAUAAUCAAGCACUAAUGUCAAGUUACCUGCACCUCAUUACAACACAAACUCAUGAACUGAACCAAAUAACUGAGAUGAAUAUCUCCUCACAGAUAAUUGACAGGGAAAUUCUCAAGAAAGAAUGUAAUUAAGAACACAUAGUAGGCAAAUCAAGCAUUCGAUAAGAGUAUAAAACUGCAGAUAGUAAAAUCUGACAUACAUAAAUAAGGCUCUGAACAGCAACCGAGUAAAUCUGCAUUCCAUUCUUCAUGUCUGUAUGAUCCUCUAUUUGAGAUCAAGUCACGACCAGACGACACUGGAGAAGCAUUUCUACGUGGAAUUGCCAUAUGACAUAAGAACUUCAUAAAACUAAUCAACCAUGGCCGACUUCAUGGACCAUCCUCAAAUUGCAUGAAGGACAAAAGAAUCUCAAAUAUCAAUAGGUAUUCAGGUAAAGAAAGAAUUAACUUGUUGAUUCAAAGUGUCAACAUAAGGUAGCUUAGUAGUAAUAUGCAAAGUUUAAACAAUGAUUAGAGAACAUCAUGCAAGUUUAUUAUCUUUUCCACGGUGAACAUCAGCACCAAGUUUAUAAGCAAAUUUAUAAGGCUGGAUUCCCAAAACCACCCCUGCACUUUCACUCCUAUAGAACUUUAAUAGCACAUUUACAACACUAGUUUGCUUUGUGCUGUGAACCAAACAAACAAAAUAGAGUAAGAUGCAUUACAAUACAGUUCCGUUAUCAUGUAAGUAGCAUAGUUGGACUAGAAACUAACAUAACCUCCAUUACUCAAAAAAUAUUACACUAGAUAGAUCAAGCAAAUUUUCCUCGAAUGUCAGAGUAAGGUGAACACAAAAGCGAAAACAAAAAAAGUAGAUAACAAAGCAGGACGUAAAACAAUGAACAGAAGGAAAUCAUAACUCAAUAAUGGAAAUCAAUUUCCCUUGGUAAAUGCACCGCAUCUACCAUUAGGCAAAACCAUAACAAAAGCUGACCUUGAUGCCACAUAAGCACCUUGUUUGCUAGUGUAGUCUUCGUCAAAUGAAUGAGCUUUAUCAUCAUUGGUGUCUAAAUAUUCUGACUCCUCUUUUUUGGAAUCCUUGAGGUUCGUACUCUUCUCUUGUAGGGUACUAGCCACAGUUUCAGUCACUCCAAGCAAACGUUGAAUAACUUCACACUGUCCAAUAUCCAUAUUGCUCUGCGACCGUUGAAGUUCCAUUUGGAGCUUUUCAUUUUCUUUUUGAAGGGCUUGAUCAAAGGGCAAGUUAGGAUAAGAACAAGAAAGAGUCUUUUUGAGCACCACUGUUUUAUUCCUACAAGGAUCGGGAUUGAAUAACACAUCUUGCACCUUUCUGUCCUCUUCAUCAAAAGUAUAUUCACAUUGAUCCUUUUCAAUAUAUUCUAGUCGUUCCUGUUAUACAAGAGGGAAAAACGAAAGACUUGACAAAAGCAUAUUAAAAAAUGACAAGAAGGAUUACUUCACUUUCAUGGGAUAAUUAAAUCAAUCUCAGUCACCGAGUGAGAUCAAGAAAAGCCAAUAGAAACUUCUCAAUGAGAAGCAGGACCCACAACCGGAAUAUGAAGUUCACACAUUUGCAACAAAUGGUCAUGGUAAUUCAUGUAUUAAUCCUAUCAUACAAAGAAAAGGUAAAAGUUAAGAAAAUUUAAUUUACAUAGUUUGUUUCUUCCCAGUAGGUUGGCCAAAAAAAAAAAAAAAAAAAAAAAAAAAAAAAAAAAAAAAAAAAAAAAAAUAUAUACAAAUAGAAAUUUUAGCAGAAAAAUAAGAUUUUACCUAAUCAAAUUUUUAAUGAGAAAAUAUAUUGAUUAAAUAAUUAAUGUAAAAAAAUAUUAACUUUAUUUUUAUAUUUACACCCACUUAGCUUCUAAUUCUUUUAUUUGUAUUAUUCCAUUCAAAUAACUUAGGAAUUUUACUAAACUUAACAGUAAUUCAGUUAGUAAUCUAAUUUCUUAGUUUUUAAUAAAUAAAAUUAUAACAAUCAAUGACUAUUAGCUAGAAGGGCUAUUCAAUUUAACAUAAUAUUUUAUUUAGUAAAAUAAAAUUGCUCACCCAAAAUAACCAGAAGAUAAGAAUGUAUUAAACAAAAUAUUUAAAGUUGAAAGACUUAGUUUAAAAUGUCCUAUAAGGCUAUAACUAAGAGGUUCUUAGUACACUUUCACUUACAAAACAAAUAAGAAGAGAGAGAGAGAGAGAGAUCAUGUUGACACCAAAGACUUUUUUACAAGAUAGGCCUAUAUACUUUUGAGAAUAGCUCAAGUUCAUUAGCUUCCUAAGGACGAUUAAGUAAAUUUUAAAAUGUUGAGAGGGGUCGGGGCCACGGCCAUGUUGGGUCUAUACAUAGCUCCAUCAUUUGUUCACAACAAUAUGAUGAAAUUGAUUGAUGGCAACUAUUUGGAGUUGUACAGUAGUCAUGCUACUUUUGCAAAUUAGUUUUUACUCCAGAACCAUCUUCAACUGGACAACCUACUUACCAGUUUUUAAGUUCAAGAAAGGGUUUGUAACUUAAGCUUUUAGGUUAUGAAGGUAUUGGAUGAUCACUGGCCCACGAAAAUGACGUUCAACCAAAUGAAUUUGUUUGCAUAUUUAAGUCACUCUUACCAACCUAAACAAACAAAAAGGAACAUCUACCACCCAUGAUGAUACUGAAAACCAAUAAAUAACUAUAAAAUCUAGCACCUAACUCAACAGGGUCAAUGCUGAGCUCAUGCAUUCAACCAUAAAAAGUGGAGAAAAGAAUAAGAACAUUCCUUCCCUACUAAAUAUUUGAUUAUCUUAGCAAUUGACGAACAGUGAACAUAAUCCAUAACACGCAUCAAAAAGUACAAAGAAUCAAUAUAAUAUAAGCAAAAGCUGGAAAGAUAGAAGGUCUCUUCGAGCUUUCGUCCAACAGAGAAAUGUUUUUUUAACUACUAUGACAGUGUCUACCAUGCCGCAGGUGCAAUUUCUAGAUUCCGAAAGCAACAUCUAAACUAUAUAAAUUCACUGUAUCUUUCUUGAAUAUACCUUCUGAUAAAUACAUUUCUAGGCCCGUUUCCUAUCACCCGAUCCUAAGAUCCUCCCCAGCUUCGGCAUCCAUUUAAUGGAUUUAUUCAAUGGGUUCAUUCCCCAUCUCUUCCCUUGCCCAUCAAUUCCACUAGUCUUUCGUUCCUAACCGGGGUGUUAAACAUACUUCUGAGCCCAUUUUCUAUCAUAUUGGUCUUUGGGUAACAGAUGCUCAGUUUGACGAAUCUCUAACACUAUUAUCAUAAUGCACAUGAAAUAAGAAUUCAUACCCUGACUCGAGCAUUGUCGACGAGGGUGAUGAGGGGUACGAUCCGGAGAUAGCGGUCGAUCUCGCUCUGCGCCUUGCGGAACUGGUACACAAUGUUCCAACCCAUGGCCAAGAGAUACAGGUAGCUGCGGUCCUGGCAGCUGUUAACAAGGAUAUAGGAGCGGCGGAGCGCGUCCUCGAGCUGCUCCAGCGGCUCCCGCGUCUCCGGGUACUUCUUCAGCUCCGAAAUCUUCAGCUGCUCCAAGAGAUUCCCGAUCAGCUUCAGAUGCUGCGCGAACUGGCGGCAGUUGCGCUUGUGCAUCCGCGCCGUCGUCGCCGCCCGUGCGAUCAUCCCGAUCAGGCGGACGGCGUCGAGCCCCGUCAGCUGCGCCACAUUCGCCAGCUCGCCGAGCUGAUCCCACGACGCCAUUGUGAUCCCCGAUUUUUACCACUAUACCAACCCCAAAUUCCAACAAUACUGCGGCGACUACUCUACAAAUCCAACCCCAAAUUGCACAACACUACUGCAACUACUACGCCAAAAAUCCAACCCCAAAUUCCGAAACACUACUUCAACCACUGCUCCAAAAAUCCAACCCCAAAUUCCACAACACUACUACAACCACUAAUUAAUCUACAAAUCCAACCCCAAAUUCCACAACACUGCCGCAAUUACUAUUUAAUCUACAAAUCCAACCCCAAAUUCCACCACACUACUGCAACUACUGCUCUACAAUUCCCCCAAGUACCAGCAUUUUGCUCUUGAUCUUGAAACCCUGAUUAAUUUUUUUACAAAAAGGAACAAAAAAUGAUCAGAUAAUUAAACAAAAAGAUGGAAAAGCACUAAAUUCGGGCGUUUUCUUGAAAUUGUACCUGUGAAUUACCAAUUAGAGCCGCAGAGACAGCAUUUCAAAGGAAGCUUUAGAAAAAGGGGUCAAAAUCUCAAAACCUUCACCUUUUUUCUCUCUCUCUCUCUUUUUUGGAUUCAGAAUCGAUCUUUUUGGGUACUCAUCAAACACUCUAGCCUCAACCAAAAUAAUAAUAAUAAUAAUAAUAAUCCUCUACCACAUCAAAUCCACGAAUCUGAUCCUGCGACGUUAGAAUCGAAACAUCAAAUCCUCUUCACUUCAAUCAAAAAUUAAAAAUAAAAGGAACGCAAAAAUGGUCAAAUUGUACCUUGAUUUGGGAGCCGAGAGGUGACGGGUCUGCAAAGAUGCGAACUUUAAGGGGGGAUUUUGCUUAAAUGUUUGGGGAUGGGCUGGACGCACGCGACCUCCUCCGCCAUUGUUGCCCUUCUUUUUUGUUUGGGCUUCUUCGUCCCCACUCUCUCUCUCUCUCUCUCUUUCUCUCUCUGGAGACAGAGCUCCACAGUCCACACUCGACAAGUAGAGGAGUGAGAGAGAGAGAGAGAGAGAGAGAGAGAGAGGGAGUAACGACGAAGGAAUAAUUAAGAGGGGGCAGUACGUAGUGAGCCCGUGAGUCGACGGUAUAUUUACGAAAAUACCCCUGCCUAUUUUUUUUUGGGUUAAUUUUAUACCGAUACUGCAAGUAUAGUAAAUGAUAAAUAUAUUCCUACAAAGUUUAAUUUUUAUAUAUUGUUCCUGCAAAAGUCUUGAUGUUUUUAAAUAUGUCCCUACCAUUAGAAUCCAUUAGAAAAAUUUAGUUAACCAUAGGUUAAAUGCUUAACCCUAGUUAAUUUUUGAUAUUUUUAUCAUUUUGUAUUAUACUGUUAUGAUUUUUUGAGGGAUAUAUUUGUAAUGGCAAAAUUGAAAAUUUAAACAGUUCUCUAACGAUUUUCUAACAGUAAUAAAUCAGAGGAUAAUAUUUGAAAACAUCAUAUCUUUUGUAGAGACAAUAUAUAAAAGUUGAACUUUAGGAAUAUAUUUGUUAUUUAUUAUAUUUAUAGAGACGGUAUAAAAUUAAUUUUUUUUAUUACAUGUGAUAAAAAUAUUUUAUUUAUUUAUAAAAUAUUUAUUUAUUAAUAAUUCCUGAAUUUGAGUAACAAUUAUUACACAACUACUUUCUGAAUUUUUGUCCAGGUUUCAAUUAAUGUCAGAAACUUUUAGUAUA